UAGAGUUGUAAAACUCCCAACCCAUGUGAACAUACCUCUGUUGCCUCGGUGGCCUACCCGGUAGUUACCCUGUAGUUACCCUGUAGACCGCCGACGGACCACUAAACUCUGAUUAUUUUAAAUCUCUGAGUAAAUACUUAAUAAGUUA
rnacentral:misc_RNA from 1 species